rnacentral:rRNA from 1 species
CCUACGGGAGGCAGCAGUGAGGAAUAUUGGUCAAUGGGCGAGAGCCUGAACCAGCCAAGUCGCGUGAGGGAGUACUGCCCUAUGGGUUGUAAACCUCUUUUGUCGGGGAGCAAAAGCCGGACGUGUCCGGCUGUGAGAGUACCCGAAGAAAAAGCAUCGGCUAACUCCGUGCCAGCAGCCGCGGUAAUACGGAGGAUGCGAGCGUUAUCCGGAUUUAUUGGGUUUAAAGGGUGCGCAGGCGGAUUUUUAAGUCAGCGGUAAAAUCGUGGGGCUCAACCCCAUCCAGCCGUUGAAACUGGGGAUCUAGAGUGUGCGAGAGGUAUGCGGAAGGCGUGGUGUAGCGGUGAAAUGCAUAGAUAUCACGCAGAACCCCGAUUGCGAAGGCAGCAUACCGGUGCACAACUGACGCUCAGGCACGAAAGCGUGGGUAUCGAACAGGAUUAGAUACCCUUGUAGUC